rnacentral:rRNA from 1 species
UACGGAGGAUGCAAGCGUUAUCCGGAAUGAUUGGGCGUAAAGCGUCCGCAGGUGGCUGUGUAAGUCUGCUGUCAAAGAGCGAAGCUCAACUUCGUAAAGGCAGUGGAAACUACACGGCUAGAGUGCGUUCGGGGCAGAGGGAAUUCCUGGUGUAGCGGUGAAAUGCGUAGAGUAUCAGGAAGGAACACCGGUGGCGAAGGCGGCUCUG